GGGCUCUACGAAACCCAAAGGCGGAAUGAAAGUGAAGGCUGUCUCGCAUGGCUUAGGUGGGAUCCCCCGGCUGGUGGGGGCGCACCACCGGCCCGUCUGGUCGCCUCCCCCCUGUCCGUUCAGGGGUGCUUGAGGUCAGGCGGAGCAAGAGCGCACACGUUGGGACCCGAAAGAUGGUGAACUAUGCCUGAGCAGGUUGAAGCCAGGGGAAACCCUGGUGGAGGACCGUAGCGAUUCUGACGUGCAAAUCGAUCGUCCGACUUGGGUAUAGGGGCGAAAGACUAAUCGAACCAUCUAGUAGCUGGUUCCCUCCGAAGUUUCCCUCAGGAUAGCAGGCGCUCGAGGGUUCAGUUUUAUCCGGUAAAGCGAAUGAUUAGAGGCCUUGGGGUCGAAACGUCCUCAACCUAUUCUCAAACUUUAAAUGGGUAAGAAGUCCCGCUCGCCCGGUCGGAGCGGGGCAGUGCGCAGAAUGAGAGUGCC
rnacentral:rRNA from 1 species